rnacentral:rRNA from 1 species
UACGUAGGGUCCGAGCGUUGUCCGGAAUUAUUGGGCGUAAAGAGCUCGUAGGCGGUUUUGUCGCGUCUGCUGUGAAAACCUGAGGCUCAACCUCGGGCUUGCAGUGGGUACGGGCAGACUAGAGUGCGGUAGGGGUGACUGGAAUUCCUGGUGUAGCGGUGGAAUGCGCAGAUAUCAGGAGGAAACACCGAUGGCGAAGGCAGGUCACUGGGCCGCAACUGACGCUGGAGGAGCGGAAAAGCAUGGGGAGCGAACAGG